rfam:Ailuropoda melanoleuca scaffold207_26, whole genome shotgun sequence.
ACCUGGCUGGCUCAGUCGGUAGAGCAAGUGAUUCUUGAUCUCCAGUUGUGAGUUCAAGCCCCACGUUGGGCC